GACGAACGCUGGCGGCGUGCCUAAUACAUGUAAGUAGAACGCUGAAGGAGGAGCUUGCUUCUCUGGAUGAGUUGCGAACGGGUGAGUAACGCGUAGGUAACCUGCCUGGUAGCGGGGGAUAACUAUUGGAAACGAUAGCUAAUACCGCAUAAGAGUAGAAGUUGCAUGACAUUUGCUUAAAAGGUGCAAUUGCAUCACUACCAGAUGGACCUGCGUUGUAUUAGCUAGUUGGUGAGGUAACGGCUCACCAAGGCGACGAUACAUAGCCGACCUGAGAGGGUGAUCGGCCACACUGGGACUGAGACACGGCCCAGACUCCUACGGGAGGCAGCAGUAGGGAAUCUUCGGCAAUGGACGGAAGUCUGACCGAGCAACGCCGCGUGAGUGAAGAAGGUUUUCGGAUCGUAAAGCUCUGUUGUAAGAGAAGAACGAGUGUGAGAGUGGAAAGUUCACACUGUGACGGUAUCUUACCAGAAAGGGACGGCUAACUACGUG
rnacentral:rRNA from 1 species